rnacentral:rRNA from 1 species
CCUACGGGUGGCUGCAGUGAGGAAUAUUGGUCAAUGGGCGCGAGCCUGAACCAGCCAAGUAGCGUGAAGGAUGACUGCCCUACGGGUUGUAAACUUCUUUUAUAAGGGAAUAAAGUGAGGAACGUGUGCCUUUUUGUAUGUACUUUAUGAAUAAGCAUCGGCUAACUCCGUGCCAGCAGCCGCGGUAAUACGGAGGAUCCGAGCGUUAUCCGGAUUUAUUGGGUUUAAAGGGAGCGUAGAUGGGUUGUUAAGUCAGCUGUGAAAGUUUGGGGCUCAACCAUAAAAUUGCAAUUGAUACUGGUAGUCUUGAGUAUAGUUGAGGUAGGCGGAAUGCGUGGUGUAGCGGUGAAAUGCUUAGAUAUCACGAAGAACUCCGAUUGCGAAGGCAGCUUACUAAACUGCCACUGACACUGAUGCUCGAAAGUGUGGGUAUCAAACAGGAUUAGAUACCCGAGUAGUC